rnacentral:rRNA from 1 species
GAUGAACGCUGGCGGCGUGCCUAAUACAUGCAAGUCGAACGCUGAAGCUUGGUGCUUGCACCGAGCGGAUGAGUUGCAAACGGGUGAGUAACGCGUAGGUAACCUGCCUCUUAGCGGGGGAUAACUAUUGGAAACGAUAGCUAAUACCGCAUAAAAGUUGACAUUGCAUGAUGUUGAUUUGAAAGAUGCAAUUGCAUCACUAAGAGAUGGACCUGCGUUGUAUUAGCUAGUUGGUGAAGUAACGGCUCACCAAGGCGACGAUACAUAGCCGACCUGAGAGGGUGAUCGGCCACACUGGGACUGAGACACGGCCCAGACUCCUACGGGAGGCAGCAGUAGGGAAUCUUCGGCAAUGGACGGAAGUCUGACCGAGCAACGCCGCGUGAGUGAAGAAGGUUUUCGGAUCGUAAAGCUCUGUUGUAAGAGAAGAACGAGUGUGAGAGUGGAAAGUUCACACUGUGACGGUAACUUACCAGAAAGGGACGGCUAACUACGUG